UGAUGUAGCAAACUCAAGAGGUCCCAAAAACCUGAGAAGGAAAAAUUGAAGAUACUUUUUCUUCAUGUGGUUACAUGUGAGGACGAGUCUGAGUUGUGCAAUUUCCUGCAGAUGUUAAAGGUCAUGCUUGAGUUCUAGAAUUUCUAGCAAGUCUGGCUACAGGAAAAGAAAUGGUUUAUCAUUUCUACAUUUCAAGAUGCUGAGAACUUCCAUCUUAUUUCCAUCUUAUUCAUACAUGGACUCAAGCAAGCUGCAGCCAAUGAGAGUGCAUGUGAUCUUUUCUUUCUACAAGUAAUCUCAGCUUGGGUGUGAAAACAGCACAUGUUCUGAAGCUCUUGUUUUUGACCACGUUUACCAUGUGCCUAAGAAGGUUU